GAGUUUGAUCCUGGCUCAGGACGAACGCUGGCGGCGCGCUUAACACAUGCAAGUCGAGCGAGAACCAGGCCUUCGGGCCUGGGGACAGCGGCGAACGGGUGGAGUAACACGUGGGUAAUCAACCCUCGAUACUGGGAUAGCCCGGGGAAACCCGGAUUAAUACCGGAUGGCCCUUUGGAUCCUCGGAUCUGAAGGAAAAGGUAGCUUCGGCCUCCGAUCGAGGACGAGCCCGCGGCGGAUUAGCUUGUUGGUGAGGUAACGGCUCACCAAGGCGACGAUCCGA
rnacentral:rRNA from 1 species